rnacentral:rRNA from 1 species
GACGAACGCUGGCGGCGUGCUUAACACAUGCAAGUCGAACGGUGAUGCUCCAGCUUGCUGGAGUGGAUCAGUGGCGAACGGGUGAGUAACACGUGAGCAACCUGCCCCAGACUCUGGAAUAAGCGCUGGAAACGGCGUCUAAUACUGGAUACGAAACUGGCCCGCAUGGGCAUGGUUUGGAAAGUUUUUCGGUUUGGGAUGGGCUCGCGGCCUAUCAGCUUGUUGGUGAGGUAAUGGCUCACCAAGGCAGCGACGGGUAGCCGGCCUGAGAGGGCGAACGGCCACACUGGGACUGAGACACGGCCCAGACUCCUACGGGAGGCAGCAGUGGGGAAUAUUGCACAAUGGGCGAAAGCCUGAUGCAGCGACGCCGCGUGAGGGAUGACGGCCUUCGGGUUGUAAACCUCUUUCAGCAGGGAAGAAGCGAAAGUGACGGUACCUGCAGAAGAAGCACCGGCUAACUACGUG